UCGUGUGACAGGGAGUUUUGGCUGGGGAAGGCGGCUUAGCCAGCCUCUUUUCACAAAAGUGCCAUGGCGGUAUUGCCCAGACAGGCAGCAGGGACAGGCGAAAGGGAUUUUGGAUUAACAUCUCAUCUCAUGAAGGACGGCACCUCAAACAGUUCAACACCUCCCUGGCGUUGUACUGCCGUGUCAGCAUUAAGAAUCAGCCCAAGUCCUGGUGGGAGACUUAAACUUGUGACCUUCUAGCCAAGAGGAAAGUCCCUCCACAUACUGAGAAAUCUCCCUUGCAUUUGUCAAGCUCAUUUGAACUCGAGAAUCCACUCAUUUGACUUCAAUGGGUCAAUUCUUCCGUAGGACACGCUUGGCUGGGCUGGAUCCUCAGUGAGAAUCACUGUCUGCAACCACCUGUCGGCUGCCGGUUCCUUUUCUGAACACUUGGCUCUUUGAGGAUAGAUGAAGACUAUGGUCUCCGAAGCAGUGAGUGUGGUUGAAGACAUUCGGAAGCCUUCUCUUACUCCUUGACUGUUAGUAGGGUUAUCGUAAAAAAUA